rnacentral:rRNA from 1 species
AGAGUUUGAUCCUGGCUCAGGAUGAACGCUAGCGGGAGGCCUAACACAUGCAAGCCGAGCGGUAUUGUUCUUCGGAAAUGAGAGAGCGGCGUACGGGUGCGGAACACGUGUGCAACCUGCCUUUAUCUGGGGGAUAGCCUUUCGAAAGGAAGAUUAAUACUCCAUAAUAUAUUGAUUGGCAUCAAUUAAUAUUGAAAGCUCCGGCGGAUAGAGAUGGGCACGCGCAAGAUUAGCUAGUUGGCGAGGUAACGGCUCACCAAGGCGAUGAUCUUUAGGGGCCUGAGAGGGCGAUCCCCCACACUGGUACUGAGACACGGACCAGACUCCUACGGGAGGCAGCAGUGAGGAAUAUUGGUCAAUGAGUGCAAGCCUGAACCAGCCAUCCCGCGUGAAGGACGACUGCCCUAUGGGUUGUAAACUUCUUUUGUAUAGGGAUAAACCUACCCUCGUGAGGGUAGCUGAAGGUACUAUACGAAUAAGCACCGGCUAACUCCGUG